UGGGGAAUAUUGCACAAUGGGCGCAAGCCUGAUGCAGCCAUGCCGCGUGUGUGAAGAAGGCCUUCGGGUUGUAAAGCACUUUCAGCGAGGAGGAAGGUGGUGAGCUUAAUACGCUCAUCAAUUGACGUUACUCGCAGAAGAAGCACCGGCUAACUCCGUGCCAGCAGCCGCGGUAAUACGGAGGGUGCAAGCGUUAAUCGGAAUUACUGGGCGUAAAGCGCACGCAGGCGGUUUGUUAAGUCAGAUGUGAAAUCCCCGGGCUCAACCUGGGAACUGCAUUUGAAACUGGCAAGCUAGAGUCUCGUAGAGGGGGGUAGAAUUCCAGGUGUAGCGGUGAAAUGCGUAGAGAUCUGGAGGAAUACCGGUGGCGAAGGCGGCCCCCCUGGACGAAGACUGACGCUCAGGUGCGAAAGCGUGGGGCAGCAAACAGGAUUAGAUACCCUGGUAGUCCACGCUGUAAACGAUGUCGAUUUGGAGGUUGUGCCCUUGAGGCGUGGCUUCCGGAGCUAACGCGUUAAAUCGACCGCCUGGGGAGUACGGCCGCAAGGUUAAAACUUAAAUGAAUUGACGGGUC
rnacentral:rRNA from 1 species